rnacentral:rRNA from 1 species
GACGAACCGUGCGAACGUUAUUCGGAAUCACUGGGCUUAAAGCGCGUGUAGGCGGCCCGGCACGCCAUCGGCUGAAAUCCCCCGGCUCAACCGGGGAAGGGGCCGUGAUACGACCGGGCUGGAGGGGGGUAGGGGGGACGGGAACGUCACGGUGGAGCGGUGAAAUGCGUUGAGAUCGUGAGGAACGCCCGGUGGCGAAAGCGCGUCCCUGGACCCCACCUGACGCUGAGACGCGAAAGCCAGGGGAGCGAACGGG